ensembl:lncRNA
AGUUUAGUGGCUGACUGCUUAACAGAAUCAGUGGGAGUUCAGUAAAAAGACGAUGUUAUUUUUCUUCAUAGAAAAAUGUCAAAUCCCAGACUGAGAACACAAAUAUUCCCUGCCCAGAGUGGCGAAUCUCUGGCUAAAGUGAAGGCUGAGGCUGUGCACUAUUUGAUGUGAGGACACUCCAGACUUACUGCCACCAGACAGCAGAGUUGCACACUGCAUGCAAAGCUUCCAAAACAAUGGAUGCCAACACAAUGCUUUCUAAGAGAUAAUAAGCUACUCAAAAUUUUCAUGGGAAAAAAGCUAAACAAUAGGAGGAAAAAAAAAAAAAACAGGUUUCAUUAGCUUAGGAAUUCAAUUACUAGCUAGUAAGUAAAUUAAACAAUACAAAAAGUAAUGAAAAUUAAUUCAAUUGAACUUCUGAAAAUCUCGAACAUAGUCUGCAUGUGGGCUGAACUCAAGAGAAAAGCUUUCUGAAAUAGGACUUGUAGGCCUUUGACAAUUAGUUGGUGAUAGGAUGACUCACAGCAGAGAAUAAACAGUCUUGGCUAUGGAGGAUCAAGCUUUUCUAUGCAUACUUAUGAUCUUGUUUUAAAGCAAAUCCAAAAUGUGAUGUGUUGCUGUUCUUUUAAGCGCUUAAAUACCGUAUUGAAGUCUAUUCAAAGUGAAUGGAAGAAGUGAUUGUAGGGCAAAAAAAAAAUCAUUAAAUUGCAGCACCACCUUUUUCAGUUUUUUAUAUGUUUGUCAAAUAGUGCCCCAGGAAAUAUAUAUUCCAAAUCCAAGUCUGAAUUGAUAGCUCUAGUCGUGUAAUUUUUACUGGUUAAAUCUAAAAUAACCUGGGCUGAUUCCCAGGUGGUUAAUAAAUAAAACCAAUGAUAACUGUAAUGUGCUUAACCAGAUAAUGGUUUUCUAUUCUGAAAAGUAAAGAUGAUAAAAUGAAGCUGUCUCUUAAAGUCUUUAACAUAAGCAAUUUGAACUUCAGUUUUCAACCCUAGUUCCUGUUUUUGGAAGGCUUCCUAAAGAGACUGGUGACUUUCAGCCUGGUUGUCUUUCAGAAAUUAACAUUGGUUCUAAGUUUGUGCGCCUGAUUCUUGUAGUAUAAACAGGCCAAAAUGAUCUUUUAGGUGUAUGAGACUAUAUACAAGGCAAGAAUCACAA